rnacentral:rRNA from 1 species
GAUGAACGCUGGCGGCGUGCCUAAUACAUGCAAGUCGAGCGAGCGGACGAGAAGCUUGCUUCUCUGAUGUUAGCGGCGGACGGGUGAGUAACACGUGGAUAACCUACCUAUAAGACUGGGAUAACUUCGGGAAACCGGAGCUAAUACCGGAUAAUAUUUUGAACCGCAUGGUUCAAAAGUGAAAGACGGUCUUGCUGUCACUUAUAGAUGGAUCCGCGCUGCAUUAGCUAGUUGGUAAGGUAACGGCUUACCAAGGCAACGAUGCAUAGCCGACCUGAGAGGGUGAUCGGCCAGACUGGAACUGAGACACGGUCAAGACUCCUACGGGAGGCAGCAGUAGGGAAUCUUCCGCAAUGGGCGAAAGCCUGACGGAGCAACGCCGCGUGAGUGAUGAAGGUCUUCGGAUCGUAAAACUCUGUUAUUAGGGAAGAACAUAUGUGUAAGUAACUGUGCACAUCUUGACGGUACCUAAUCAGAAAGCCACGGCUAACUACGUG